rnacentral:pre_miRNA from 1 species
AAAGAGUGUAGUUUUGCACUGUUCAUAUUCAAUAUAUGACUGUCCUUCUUAUUUGAAAAUUUUGGUAUAAUUAGUAUUUAUUAUUAUUGUUAGAUGAUAAAAUAUAAAUAAUAUUUUAUGUGUGAUUGAUUUUUUCAUAAUUUUUUAAAUAAGACGAACUGUCAAACGUUGAAUACAGAAAUCCAAAUCCAUAGCCACACUUAUA